UAUUACUUAGCACGGAGCAAAAUCGUUUUGAAAUCGAUUUUAAAGAGUUCAAUUCUCUUAGAAAAAAU
rnacentral:tRNA from 1 species